UACGGGGGGGGCAAGCGUUGUUCGGAAUUACUGGGCGUAAAGGGCGCGUAGGCGGCCUUCUAAGUCGGACGUGAAAUCCCUCGGCUUAACCGAGGAACUGCGUCCGAUACUGAAAGGCUUGAAUCCGGGAGAGGGAUGUGGAAUUCCAGGUGUAGCGGUGAAAUGCGUAGAUAUCAGGAGGAACACCUGUGGUGUAGACAGCUUACUGGACCAUUUCUGACGCUGAGACACGAAAGCGUGGGUAGCAAACAGG
rnacentral:rRNA from 1 species